UAACACCAACGCUUAAUUGCGUAUGAUACAAAAUUUGAUCAAAAUCCUCUUUACCCAAUGGCUCGGCAUACUCAAAACCAAAAAUAGCUCCAUCCAUAGGUAUUAAACGAACACAUCCAUCCGAAAUAUCUGUCGUUUCUAAAUAUGUAUGGAGGCACGCUCUAUACUUGGAAGGAUUUUUCUUUUUAGCCCCGGUCCUCUUGGAAAUUUCAGUCUUCUUAGCAACAGGAAUCUAAAUAUCAUAUAAUUAGUAAGGUGAAGUGUAAGAUGACGAAUUAACAGGAAUCUAAAUAGCAUAUAAUUGUGAUGUACCUCUUUUUGCGAUGCAACUGACUCGAUUUCCCGCGCAAUCCCCUUAUCUUUUGCUUUGGAUUUUGUGGGAGUCUAAUUAACAUUAACAUGUAAAAAAUGUGUACGUAAAAUGCGCGUAAAAAAUUUGAAUACCUAAAGGUUCAUAAUGGUUUUAAGCAUACCUCAUAUCCUACGAUAAUGAGGUCUGUCGGCCAUGCAACAAAUGAACCUAUGGCAUCUCCCAAUAAAGUUGCAUCCGAAACAUCGUCAGGAUGUGGUAAUAACGCAUCCUUCUCCAAAGCAAUAUCAACCGAGACUUUCAAAGAUCCAGUAGGGAGCGGUUUAGUGUGAAGUAAUUCACCCAAAUUGUUAUGAACUUUCCCCUUGCCAACCAUCCGAUAAGUCGGUCUCGCUAAGUAGAGGUGACAAGGUGAAAUGCCCUAAAACCAAUAAUAAAUAUGACAUUUUUAAUGUGUAUAUAUGACAAUUAAAUAAAUUAAGCUAAUUUAAUUUCAUAAUAAGAUAUAUAAUUACCUCUGGAAUAGUCGGUUGAAAAUUACAAUUGAUACUAUCUUUGUCACUAGUAUCUUUAAAACCCGCUGCUCGAUCUCUUUCUCUUUCCUUUCUUAAUUCAAGAACUUCAGCUUUUAAUGCUUCCAAAGUUUGCUGCAGUUCUUUAUUGCUAGGAGUCUUUUGUUUUUUAAUAUUCAAGGAUUUUUGAGUGAUCCCAAAUCCCUUGCCCCUCACCCGACCAGAAUACUCGGGAACAUCUAAUGCUCGACUCAGUAUGCUCCUGCAAUCAGUGUCUUCAUAUGGAACUAUAGAUUGAGAUAGAGUCUCCUGAAAAUCAUAUGAACAUACACACAAUAGUAAUGUUAUUGUCUUAAGUAAGUGUCAAAGUCAAAGUGUUCGAAAUUGGACGAUUCAAAAGUGUCAAAGUCAAAGUGUUAUUGUCUUAAAUAAUGCUAUACUUACACAUUUCUCAAAUAUUUGUUGAACGUCUUCUUUAAUCUUUCCAUCCUUACCGACACGGGCUUCCUUCCACAAAACAUGUGCCGGAAGAGAUGUUUCAGAACUAUUCUCCUUUGUUAACUACACAUUAAGCAUAAUAUGAUCAAAUAUAACUCAUGACAAAAUAUGAUCAAAUAUAACAAGUAUAUCAAUGCAAUUUAUAGAUACUUACUAUAGACUGCUCUAAGCGUCCAUAUCCAACACGCCCUUUUCUAUAGGGAUACGCCGGACUUGAUGCUCUUUGCCGGUUUGUUUCACUUACACUCUUAAAUUCUUGGGUUUUUCGUUUGGAUUUAAACGUUUCCCAUUCUUUAGGUGAAAUCAAACUUGCAUAUUUAGAUGGAAGCUCUGCAUCAACAAAAGUACCUUCCGUAUCCCUAAGAAAGGUGGUUGAUAAAAAGGUUCUAAACCCUCUUAGUAACUUUCCGGCCAAUUUGAGACAAUGAUCUCUUCUGUUUUCUUCGAUGUCGAAACACCUCUACGAAAAACAUACACACAUUGCGUUAGUACAAUUAAUUUAAAGACAUAAUCGUCAUUAAAAACAAAUAACAUCACAUAUGGUACCUUUAUCUCACUCCAUAUUUUGUCUUUAGCUUCGUUCAAUUGUUUAUUUCUCCAAUUAUCACAAGUAAUUGGAACUUCAUUCCUUACCAAUGCACCAAUAAAACUUGUCAAUGUUGAACCGUUAGGCUCAAUUAGUUGUCCACCUUCGUUCCAAUGCACUUUUAUUAAAACGCCUCGAUCUCUAUCUCGAAUAACUUUCUUCAUAACCGUUAUUCCACGUUUAAUUUCCCUUUCCGCACCACCAACGGUCUCAUCACCAUGUGGGUGAUCCUCGUUACUAGCCAUCUGUAAUAAAGAAAAACAUAAACACAAUAUUAAGCAAAUAUGAAUACAAAUCAAGUAAGUGUCAAAGUCAAAGUGUAUUGAAUUGGACGAAAAUUACAUGGUAGCCUACAAACGGGCCAAAGGACUCAAAAAUGAACUCGAUUCGUCCAAAUUCCGAGUGGAAGCAUGUUUUUUGUAACAGUACAGCAACAGUAAAAUCAGGGAAAAAGUUGUCCGAAUCGAAAAACAAAGUAUACCAUUGGCUCCGGAAUCGUGGAGAAAGNGCUGGCAUAGGGGGGUUUAGACAGCGCUUUUUCAGUAAAAGCGCUGUCUAAGACUCCAAAUUUUGGAGGAUCUUUUUAUACGUUUUCACCACAUUAUUUAGCACCUGUAAAUUGCAAAUUUCAGCAGAUUUUCAUAAAUUGGAGCUUGAAUCCAAUCUAUAUGCACCUUAUAGUUCAACACAUUGUAGUUCUAUCUUCUGAAUAUGCACAUAUACUUGAAAAUCUAUAUGCAUUAUAAACACAUUAUAGUUCAACACAAUAUACUUCUAAUUUCAGCAGUUUUUGAGUAUUUAUAUAUAUACUUGAAAAUGUUUGCCUUUACAAAAAAUCUACACAUUUCUAAUAACCUCCAAAAAUGCUAAUCAAAAUGUAUUUCAACACAUUCUAGUUCUAUCUUCUAAAUAUGCUAUAUAACCUGAAACAACACCAAAUAAAGAUUGUAGUAAGCAAAUGGAAUUCACUCAAAGUUAUUCAGAUCACAUUCAAAAUUAAAGUAAGAGUUCCAUACCUCAAAAAACCUGUAGCUCGAUAAUGAAUUGACACAAUUCUCUUUAAUUUCAUCCAACUGAUCUUUUGAGUAAUGCACAUCUAUAUUCAUCAAAGUACUACAUAAUAAUAUAACAUAGUAUGAUUUAGUUUAAUCUAUUUAAUAUGAGAAAUAUGUGUUAAAUAUGAAAAUAACUCAUAAGUUAGAAAUCCAUACAUCAGAUGGAAUAUCUGUUCGAUCCAUAAGAAGAGUUUCUUUCAUAAACCUCACGUGUAAUAUCCACAAUCUAUAUUAUUACGCUGUCGAGGACACUACACAUGGAAAAACAAUAUGGAUAAAUAUCCUAAGUUUUAUCAUGUGUCAUCACUAAUAUAAUCAAAAUUGUGAUAAUUAUAUACCUCCACUCUAUUCCAUGUAAUGUUAUUGGCUUUUCUCUUUGGUACUUGAAUUUUCUUUGUGCUCGAACAGUUUGUAUAAUGCUAUAAUGAAUAAUAAACGAAUAUUAGAACAAUUCACAUAAAUAAAUAAGUAUACACACGAAUAUUGGGUUAUUUGCACUUACGUGUCAACUAUCGUCUUCAUAGCAGGGUAUGUUGUCCAAUCAUUGUGUAAAGAAUCCAAAUAAUACACAAUUUCUUUAAAAGGAUUUAUCGCGACCAACAACCAAUGUUCCACUGUAAUAAACAAAUGUUAGAUGGAAACUUUCUACACGACGUCAAAAUAUGAAAAUUAUAACAGAUGAAUUUAGAUUGAAGAACUAACCCGUCGCCGGUAUUAAACGGUAAAAAGAACAACUUUUCUCUAUCUGUGUCGGCCAUAAAGCGCUCGACUACAUACGUCCUGACUUCAUCUGGUUUUCUUAUCAUUUCGGUUAAGUUCGUUUUCAUGGUAUUAAGAAUGAGAAUCUUUGCUCCAACCACGCGGACCCAUCAAUUUGUCAUAUAAUACCUUAUAUAAAACAUCAUUUACAUUUAGACUAUUCAUAUGAAACGAGUAAAUAACUUGUUCAAGAAUUUAAACAAAGUAGAUCGGAUAUACCUCAUGUUAUGUGUUGAUAACACCAACGCUUAAUUGCGUAUGAUACAAAAUUUGAUCAAAAUCCUCUUUACCCAAUGGCUCGGCAUACUCAAAACAAAAAUAGCUCCAUCCAUAGGUAUUAAACGAACACAUCCAUCCGAAAUAUCUGUCGUUUCUAAAUAUGUAUUGGAGGCACGCUCUAUACUUGGAAGGAUUUUUCUUUUUAGCCCCGGUCCUCUGAAAAUUUCAGUCUUCUUAGCAACAGGAAUCUAAAUAUCAUAUAAUUAGUAAGGUGAAGUGUAAGAUGACGAAUUAACAGGAAUCUAAAUAGCAUAUAAUUGUGAUGUACCUCUUUUUGCGAUGCAACUGACUCGAUUUCCCGCGCAAUCCCCUUAUCUUUUGCUUUGGAUUUUGUGGG
rnacentral:lncRNA from 1 species